rnacentral:rRNA from 1 species
GCUUACGGCCACACCGCCUGGUUCACGCCCGAUCUCGUUUGAUCUCGGAAGCUAAGAUAGGUUGGGCCUGGUUAGUACUUGGAUGGGAGACCCCUGGGAAUACCAGGUGCUGUAAAGC